rnacentral:rRNA from 1 species
UUAAUUGAAGAGUUUGAUCAUGGCUCAGAUUGAACGCUGGCGGCAGGCUUAACACAUGCAAGUCGAGCGGUAGCACGGGGGAGCUUGCUCCCUGGGUGACGAGCGGCGGACGGGUGAGUAAUGUCUGGGAAACUGCCUGAUGGAGGGGGAUAACUACUGGAAACGGUAGCUAAUACCGCAUAACGUCGCAAGACCAAAGAGGGGGACCUUCGGGCCUCUUGCCAUCAGAUGUGCCCAGAUGGGAUUAGCUAGUAG